rnacentral:rRNA from 1 species
CGGCGUGCUUAACACAUGCAAGUCGAACGCGAAAGGGACUUCGGUCCUGAGUAAAGUGGCGCACGGGUGAGUAACGCGUAGAUAACCUGUCUUCAUGUCUGGAAUAAUACGCCGAAAGGGGUACUAAUACCGGACAUUCUUGCUUUUCAUAAGUUAUGCAAGCAAAGGUGGCCUCUGCAUAUGCUACUGCAUGAAGAGGGGUCUGCGCACCAUUAGCUAGUAGGUGGGGUAAUGGCCUACCUAGGCGACGAUGGUUAGCGGGUCUGAGAGGAUGAUCCGCCACACUGGCACUGGAACACGGGCCAGACUCCUACGGGAGGCAGCAGUGAGGAAUAUUGCGCAAUGGGGGAAACCCUGACGCAGCGACGCCGCGUGAGUGAGGAAGGCCUUCGGGUCGUAAAGCUCUGUCAAGAGGAAAGAAGUGUACAAUGGCUAAUACCUGUUGUAUUUGACGGUACCUCUAAAGGAAGCACCGGCUAACUCCGUGCCAGCCGCGGC